rnacentral:rRNA from 1 species
UACGUAGGGGCCAAGCGUUGUCCGGAUUUAUUGGGCGUAAAGAGCUCGUAGGCGGUUGGGUAAGUCGGGUGUGAAAACUCCAGGCUCAACUUGGAGACGUCACCCGAUACUGCUCUGACUUGAGUUCGGUAGGGGAGUGGGGAAUUCCUGGUGUAGCGGUGAAAUGCGCAGAUAUCAGGAGGAACACCGGUGGCGAAGGCGCCACUCUGGGCCGAAACUGACGCUGAGGAGCGAAAGCGUGGGUAGCAAACAGG